CCUACGGGAGGCAGCAGUGGGGAAUCUUGCGCAAUGGGCGAAAGCCUGACGCAGCAACGCCGCGUGCGGGAAGAAGGCUUUCGGGCUGUAAACCGCUUUCAGCAGGAACGAAAAUGACGGUACCUGCAGAAGAAGGAGCGGCCAACUAUGUGCCAGCAGCCGCGGUGAUACAUAGGCUUCAAGCGUUGUCCGGAUUUAUUGGGCGUAAAGAGUUCGUAGGCGGUCGAGUAAGUCGGGUGUGAAAAUUCUGGGCUCAACCCAGAGACGCCACCCGAUACUGCUUGACUUGAGUUCGAUAGGGGAGUGGGGAAUUCCUAGUGUAGCGGUGAAAUGCGCAGAUAUUAGGAGGAACACCGGUGGCGAAGGCGCCACUCUGGAUCGAUACUGACGCUGAGGAACGAAAGCAUGGGUAGCAAACAGGAUUAGAUACCCUGGUAGUCCAUGCCGUAAACGGUGGGCACUAGGUGUGGGUUUCUAUUAACGAAAUCCGCGCCGUCGCUAACGCAUUAAGUGCCCCGCCUGGGGAGUACGGUCGCAAGACUAAAACUCAAAGGAAUUGACGGCUGAGACGNGCGAGCGACGACGAGGAGAGG
rnacentral:rRNA from 1 species